GAUGGUGACUUACCGUCCACGUCUGCUGAGAUAGAGGCUUACCUCACUUCAAUGCCUGGUACAUCAUUGGUUUGUAAUAGUUUAUUGCACAGCUUAAGUCUUCGCAGUUCAAGAAUCUUGUAAAACAGCUCACCCAGCGACAGACCUGAACUUACGACUUGAGUGAUAAGCCGGGAUGGCUUUGUAAAAUAGGCUAACAGAAGAAGCUAAGCUCUCCAAAUAAGCAUGGCGCGAUUUGUUGUUAAUUGCCAGAGGACUUUUUCGGAAUGCACAAGACUAGCUUUGUCGGACAAUGUGGAGACAGGCUCUGGGCCGAUUAUUACAAGGAUGGAGACGAUGCAGAGAAGUAUUAGUUGGGCAAGAGGGCGAUUGAUUGAGCCUGACUUGGCAGAUGAAAUGCAGGAUAUCAUUUCCGAGUUUCUUCAAGAGUUGAGAACACUCACUCAGCAGCAAGUUGGCCAAGGCUACCGGGCUCGUCAAGUUGUUGGUCGAACCACCAUAGGCUGAGGACGGCAAGGCAUAUGUCCCCCUACCAAAUUUUAAUUCGAGGUUGCCUUGCCCAACAAGCCCGAAAUCAGACUGCCAUCCAGGAGUGUUUGGAGCUGAUGAACAACCAGUUGCAGGGGAUGACAUCCCAGCUGCAGAGGAUGAAGUGGCACCACCUAAUUUGGACUAUGCAGAAGCAGUCCAGGUUCCCAACAACCAGUUCAAUCUUGAGGAAGGACACAUGCACGAGCUGAUGGAACAGGUCAAUCCUUUGGACGGAGCACGGGACAGUUUGGGAAUUGAUUUUCUGGAAGAAGUUUUAACUUUCAUUAGGGGCAUUCCUGAAUCUGCAUGAGUGCAGUUAGCAAGCCUAGUUAAUGGCCUCUCUCCUUACACCUUUAUUCAACAUUUGUAUUAAAAUAUUGUGUAAUUCAGCUGAAGAUUUCUUGUUAUUUUUCUAAUUGAAUAGUCGUGUUGUCCUGACUUCUAACUUGAUUGUUAGUGUUGAACCUUGAAGUCCAGGCUGUCACCUUUGAGAUACUAUACACUACACACCAGUCAGAUCUUGGUCUUUGUAUGUAGCAUAAUAAGCAGUAAAGCCAUAUAAGUCAGUGCAUGUGUUUGGCUGAAAACAAGGUACAGGGUUCCCGCAGAUCCUUAAAAGGCAUUGAAUUAAUCUAAAGGCUUUAAUUGGUAUUAAAAUGUCUUACAAUCUUUCAAGUCUUAAAAAUGUUAAAGACAUGGGAAGUAGGAUUUUGUGAAUAGUUUUUUCUGACAUUGCAAAUUAAAAUGUCAUUGGUAACAUCUAUUUUUUAAAUUUACCGUAUGCCUCUCGCAUUAACGUCACGCAGAUCAGUGGUAUUGUGUUAUAUGAUGGAGGAAGUUAUAGGCCUAUGAUAGUGGUAUUGUGUUAUAUGAUGGAGGAAGUUAUCUCAUAUGGUGGUAUUUGUUAUGAUGGUAGUUGUUUCACCUUAGUGUGAAGUUGUGUUGACUUAAUUUUUUAUUAAAGAUUACAAUAGCCUAUAUGCAUGC